UCUCCGUUGGUGAACCAGCGGAGGGAUCAUUACCGAGUGCAAACUCAUAACCCUUUGUGAACCUAUAUCUGUUGCUUCGGCGGCUCGCUCUCGGGCGAGCCCGCCGGUAAUAUCAGUAUCUCUGUUUGAACCCGACGAUACUUCUGAGUGUUCUUAGCGAACAGUUAAAACUUUCAACAACGGAUCUCUUGGCUCUA
rnacentral:misc_RNA from 1 species